AAGUUUAUACUCCCAACCCUAACCCUAACUUCUAAUUUUCUUUUUGCCUUUAUAAACGCCUCGUGUUGUGAAUAUGAUGUCUAUUUCCAGUUUCCCCUGAGGAGUAUGUUUGGUUGUUGUUUUCGUUGCUGGGAUUGCACCACCAAGGGCCUUGCCCAUGCUAGGCUGCAUCCCCAGACCUGUUAUUUUGGGAGAGCAUCUUUAUGGCUUGGAAUUUGUGAUUCUCUUUCCAUACCCUUAGAGUAGGUUUACGCGUGUACACUACCAUCUCUGGCUGGUUUCUGAACCCCUGAAGUAGGUAUUGGGAGCAAGGGAUUUAGCCACGACCACAGGGAGGUCCUGAGGUGACUGUGACAGCUUCAUGUGGAUGCUGAGGUCUGAGUGGUCCCUGUCCCUUUAAAGGGAGAUGGAAUGUUUGCCUUUUGUCCUGGGUCACUAGGGAUCCCACAGGGAGAGGAGCCACAGCUGGAGCUACGCUGAACGCUGAGGUCUGAGUGGUCCCUGUCCCUUUAAAGGGAGAUGGAAUGUUUGCCCUUUGUCCUGGGUCACUAGGGAACCCAAAGGGAGAGGAGGGACAGUUGGAGCCAGGCAGAGGAAGAGCCCCCAGGGACCACAGGAGAGUGAAGGACAGAGCGGUGGGAGCAGCCGUGGGCCCAAAGGAAACAGCCCUUCCGGGCUCCUCGGUGGGCAGAGCACCUUCGUCCAGAAGUCUCGUUCCUAAGAAGCCUCGUCCUUUCCCUAACACGACAGGAGCCAAGCUGGCCCUUCAGAAGUCACCCUCAGACUUCAGAGGCCCUGUCCUCGAGGGGACCUGGCUCUGGGACGCCCCAGCAGUCACCUCAGCUGCCAGGCAGGCAGGACCAAAGCCGGUUCCGCUGGCAAGCGAUUCCAAGAAGUCACCGUGCUCUGCAGCUCUGAUGGGAGCCACGAGGAGACCUGUGGUGACUUCGGCCCCUGGACGCCUCAGGGCUGUGGGUCCUGCCCCGUCACAGCCAGAGUCACAAAUUCGAGUUUGUGACAGUGGUGACUUAAUCAGGACUGAAAAUGAGGCAGGAAAACCUGGCCUCCGCCUUGAGGAGGAGGCGUCUAACUUGUCCCGAGUUACAGACAAACGCCACAGGAGUGAACACCGCAGCGUCUCACUCCAGCUCAAGGACCCUGAAAGUCAGGUGUGUGCAUCAGGCGGGAGCCCUCCUGGCGCAGAAGUGAUGAGCCGCCUGGUUUCUGCUGGCUGAGAUUCACACGAAACAGCAGACACCUCGGGCGAGACGUGUGUGUCCGUUCAGGACCCUUCCCUGUCCUGCCUCCCUGGGUUUCCUGUGUGGAUCUCAUCGGCCCCUGCUGCUCUCCACUGGAUGAGACUUUCAAAAGUAAAAAAAAAAAAAAAGCUUGCAUCACUGAAAUAAAUUCCACUUGCUCUUUAGCUAUUACCCUUUUUUUUAAAGUUCUGAUUAAAUUCAGCUUGCUAAGAUGCUAUUUUAUUUUAUAUUUUAUCUUGUGGUGCCAGAGACUGAACCAUGAGAUGCUGAG
rnacentral:lncRNA from 1 species